rnacentral:rRNA from 1 species
GACGAACGCUGGCGGCGUGCUUAACACAUGCAAGUCGAACGGAAAGGCCCUGCUUUUGUGGGGUGCUCGAGUGGCGAACGGGUGAGUAACACGUGAGUAACCUGCCCUUGACUUUGGGAUAACUUCAGGAAGCUGGGGCUAAUACCGGAUAGGAGCUCCUGCUGCAUGGUGGGGGUUGGAAAGUUUCGGCGGUUGGGGAUGGACUCGCGGCUUAUCAGCUUGUUGGUGGGGUAGUGGCUUACCAAGGCUUUGACGGGUAGCCGGCCUGAGAGGGUGACCGGCCACAUUGGGACGGAGAUACGGCCCAGACUCCUACGGGAGGAAGCAGUGGGGAAUAUUGCACAAUGGGCGGAAGCCUGAUGCAGCAACGCCGCGGGCGGGAUGACGGCCUUCGGGUUGUAAACCGUUUUCGCCUGUGACGAAGCGUGAGUGACGGUAAUGGGUAAAGAAGCACCGGCUAACUACGUG